AUCACACUCUGCAUUGCGGAUGGCUAUUUAUGAGGAAUCAGAUUAUCUGUGCCCCAUGCUUCUGCGCAGUUGCCUACUCCUCUCAUGGCAGCCUGGCAUCUUUAAGGACUUUUCUACCCUUAAAACUCCGGAGAGCAACUGGCAACUGAAAUUGCAGGGAAACACCUGCUGCACCCC